GAAAAGAAAAAAUAGAGAACUAAUUGUAACCACGGUCCCAANAAGCCAAUGCGAAAGUGGCUACGUGGUUGCAAUUAGUUCUCUGUUUUUUCUUUUCCUUUUUCUU
rnacentral:miRNA from 1 species